rnacentral:rRNA from 1 species
AACCCAUUGGCCAAGGUUCGAGCGGAGAGAGGUAGCUUGCUACUGAUCUUAGCGGCGGACGGGUGAGUAAUGCUUAGGAAUCUGCCUAUUAGUGGGGGACAACAUUUCGAAAGGAAUGCUAAUACCGCAUACGUCCUACGGGAGAAAGCAGGGGAUCUUCGGACCUUGCGCUAAUAGAUGAGCCUAAGUCGGAUUAGCUAGUUGGUGGGGUAAAGGCCUACCAAGGCGACGAUCUGUAGCGGGUCUGAGAGGAUGAUCCGCCACACUGGGACUGAGACACGGCCCAGACUCCUACGGGAGGCAGCAGUGGGGAAUAUUGGACAAUGGGCGCAAGCCUGAUCCAGCCAUGCCGCGUGUGUGAAGAAGGCCUUAUGGUUGUAAAGCACUUUAAGCGAGGAGGAGGCUACUUUAGUUAAUACCUAGAGAUAGUGGACGUUACUCGCAGAAUAAGCACCGGCUAACUCUGUGCCAGCAGCCGCGGUAAUACAGAGGGUGCAAGCGUUAAUCGGAUUUACUGGGCGUAAAGCGCGCGUAGGCGGCUAAUUAAGUCAAAUGUGAAAUCCCCGAGCUUAACUUGGGAAUUGCAUUCGAUACUGGUUAGCUAGAGUGUGGGAGAGGAUGGUAGAAUUCCAGGUGUAGCGGUGAAAUGCGUAGAGAUCUGGAGGAAUACCGAUGGCGAAGGCAGCCAUCUGGCCUAACACUGACGCUGAGGUGCGAAAGCAUGGGGAGCAAACAGGAUUAGAUACCCUGGUAGUCCAUGCCGUAAACGAUGUCUACUAGCCGUUGGGGCCUUUGAGGCUUUAGUGGCGCAGCUAACGCGAUAAGUAGACCGCCUGGGGAGUACGGUCGCAAGACUAAAACUCAAAUGAAUUGACGGGGGCCCGCACAAGCGGUGGAGCAUGUGGUUUAAUUCGAUGCAACGCGAAGAACCUUACCUGGCCUUGACAUAGUAAGAACUUUCCAGAGAUGGAUUGGUGCCUUCGGGAACUUACAUACAGGUGCUGCAUGGCUGUCGUCAGCUCGUGUCGUGAGAUGUUGGGUUAAGUCCCGCAACGAGCGCAACCCUUUUCCUUAUUUGCCAGCGAGUAAUGUCGGGAACUUUAAGGAUACUGCCAGUGACAAACUGGAGGAAGGCGGGGACGACGUCAAGUCAUCAUGGCCCUUACGGCCAGGGCUACACACGUGCUACAAUGGUCGGUACAAAGGGUUGCUACCUAGCGAUAGGAUGCUAAUCUCAAAAAGCCGAUCGUAGUCCGGAUUGGAGUCUGCAACUCGACUCCAUGAAGUCGGAAUCGCUAGUAAUCGCGGAUCAGAAUGCCGCGGUGAAUACGUUCCCGGGCCUUGUACACACCGCCCGUCACACCAUGGGAGUUUGUUGCACCAGAAGUAGCUAGCCUAACUGCAAAGAGGGCCGGUACCCCACCGGGGGGCCCCA